rfam:Ovis aries breed Texel chromosome 1, whole genome shotgun sequence.
UCCUUGGUGGCUCAGAUGGUAAAGCAUCUGCCUGUAACGUGGAAGACCCAGGUUCGAUCUCUGGGUUGGGAA